rnacentral:rRNA from 1 species
UACGGAGGAUCCAAGCGUUAUCCGGAUUUAUUGGGUUUAAAGGGUGCGUAGGCGGCUUAUUAAGUCAGGGGUGAAAGACGGUGGCUCAACCAUCGCAGUGCCUUUGAUACUGAUGAGCUUGAAUACACUUGAGGUAGGCGGAAUGUGACAAGUAGCGGUGAAAUGCAUAGAUAUGUCACAGAACACCAAUUGCGAAGGCAGCUUACUAAGGUGCAAUUGACGCUGAGGCACGAAAGCGUGGGGGAUCAAACAGG